rnacentral:rRNA from 1 species
CCCUUAGAUGUUCUGGGCCGCACGCGCGCUACACUGAUGCAUUCAACGAGUUUCUUCCUGGUCCGAGAGGAAUGGGUAACCUUUUGAAAGUGCAUCGUGAUAGGGAUAGACUAUUGCAAUUAUUGGUCUUCAACGAGGAAUUCCUAGUAGACGUAGUUCAUCAGACUGCAUCGAUUACGUCCCUUCCCUUUGUACACACCGCCCGUCGCUCCUACCGAUUGAAUGCUCAGGUGAGCCAUUCGGACUUUCAUCAUGCUGGUUUCCAGUUUUGAUGAAGGAAAGUCUUGCGAACCUUAUCAUUUAGAGGAAGGAGAAGUCGUAACA